rnacentral:rRNA from 1 species
CCUACGGGAGGCAGCAGUGAGGAAUAUUGGUCAAUGGGCUUACGCCUGAACCAGCCAAGUCGCGUGAGGGAAGACUGCCCUAUGGGUUGUAAACUUCUUUUAUAAAGGAAUAAAACGAGGCACGUGUGCCUUUUUGCUUGUACUUUAUGAAUAAGGAACGGCUAACUCCGUGCCAGCAGCCGCGAUAAUACGGAGGAUCCGAGCGUUAUCCGGAUUUAUUGGGUUUAAAGGGAGCGUAGAUGGGUUGUUAAGUCAGUUGUGAAAGUUUGCGGCUCAACCGUAAAAUUGCAAUUGAUACUGGCAGUCUUGAGUACAGUUGAGGUAAGCGGAAUUCGUGGUGUAGCGGUGAAAUGCUUAGAUAUCACGAAGAACCCCGAUUGCGAAGGCAGCUUACUAAACUGUGACUGACAUUGAUGCUCGAAAGUGUGGGUAUCAAACAGGAUUAGAUACCCUUGUAGUC